CUGAGCUCUUCAAGGUGCCUAAUGGGGAGGGUAAGACUACUUGGUAUUCAAGAGAAGUCCUAAUGUCCCAACCCAAAGGAUGCUGAGAUUGUAUUUGACGUUUCCUGAAGGUCAAGAACUCUAUGGGUUUAAUUAUCCAUGGUGUAGGAAGGAAAGCCGAAAAGGAGCUGUUUUCUAUCCUGAUUAUUCUAAUCCUUUCUCUGCUUUAACCUCUGCAUGUGAUUUCAGCCUGAAUCCGAUUCCCGAAUCAAUGGUGUCUCUCCGUGGGCUUCACCACAGCAUUCUGCACUGAACUACUCCCUUGAUCCGGAUCCAAGCCCACAGUUCCACCAGGCAGGGACAGAGGACCUGCUGGCCCCACCUCAUGACACCAGCACGGACCUCACGGAGGUCAUGGAGCAGAUCAACAAUACAUUUCCAUCUUGCUGCCCAAAUGUCCCCAGCAGGCCACAGGCAAUGUGAAGUGUUCAUCUAGCCAACCAACAUUUCCUGUCUCACAGUGUUGCCCUUCUGUGCAAAUGCUAAUUCCAAGUUCCAUUUAAUCCGAAACUCCAUGGCUCCUUGACACAUGUUGUUGAGUAUUGACUGUGUGUUCUACUGAGGGAGUAAAACACUGACUAUCCAAAGAGAAAAGGAUAUUUUGUUUUUAUAAUAACCAUAUAUUAUUGUUUUCUUCUUCCCUUUCUAUGCAACUGUAAAUUAAUGAACAGAGAGGUAUUUGGAAAUGGUUAUACAUUUGUCACUGAUUUGUAUAAUGUAUACAGCUUUGGGAAAGUGGGUGGGGGCUUUCUAAUAUGAUAAUGUCUUUUUAAUAAUGGUGACAAAAAUUGCAUAUGAAUUAGAAGACCACUUUACAUUUUUACAUUCCUUCUGCUGUUCAUAUUAAUCUUGUAUAAUAAUCUCAUUUAUUUCUUUACCUCUUUUACCAUUGCAUUUUGGUUAUUUAUAAGUCAUCAACCAUAUGACCAAGCAGAUUCCGUGUACUUGUGUUCAUGAUUUGCCCAAAUGAAUAAGUUCAUAUAUUUGAAUCAAAUAUUAUAUAUAUAUAUAUAUGGAUUAAGUGACAGCCCUGAGUAUUCUGUUUAACUUUAUUUGACAUUAUAUACUUAUUUUGUUAGUGACCACUUGGAUAACCACAAUAAAAAUCCUGUGGGCCUAAAUGGCAUGUCUGUUGGGAUUGUUUUCCUUUUUUUUCCUUUCUCUCUAUAAGUAGAUCUUGAUCUCUUUAUUUAUUUCUUAUCCCUAUCUAUAUGAUAGAGAAGACUGAAUUCUAAUAAUCUCAAAGAUCAUUUUCCAAAGGUGGUCCAUUUAUGCAUAUUUUCAUUUUGACACAGAAACAAAACUUGGUACAAUUUUUGUACCAAACAAAACUAGGUACAAUCCUAGUUCUCAGGCUUUGAUUUUCAUUAUUAAAUGCACAUCAGACCUGUUGUCAUACCAGAACACAUCAUCGUCUUUCAUUCCCUUUGAAGAGAAUUUUAUGGUUGUUUUUGGAUUUUUAAGUCCCUUAUAAUUAUUAAAACUCCCAGUUGUUUUCUUUCUAAAAGCAGACUCUGAUUUAGUGCAUGUCUCAUUUUACCUUUUGGGUAAGUGGACAGAUGUCUUAUUACCUUCACUUGGUCAACACAUCUAGGAAAGAUGUUUAUCAAAAGCCUAUAUGGCUGCUUCUUCAGAAGAAUGAAAUUAGUGCUUUGAUGAUUGUACCUCAACCCCUGAGUGCAUUCAAUUAGGUGUUUAGUUCCAUUUGUUACUUAACAUUUAAUUGAUUCAUUGUAAACAUGUUAUUUAAUUACCAAAUGUAGAGAAACCAAAAAUAAAAGUGAAAAUAAUAUGUUUUGAUUCAAACAUAUUAAAACAUCAGGAUAUUUUAACUGUGGGCUCUCUUUCAUUUGGAUCUGGACAGAAGGAGGCUUAAAGUUAGAAAUUGCUAUUCUUUUAGGAUAGGUUGGGUGGGUUGGGGGGCAAGGGAGUCUAUUUGCAGCAUAGAUAUUUUGAGAAGAAAAUUGUUUUAUAUAAGAAGAAAGCCAUGACCACCUCUCUACCUCAGACCCAUCUUCCUCUGUCGUGUUGGAAAUAGCUUUAUGCCACUGAAGUUUGCAAAGCCUAGAGUUUUCAUCAGGCCAUACCAUACCCAAGAAAAGUACCUAUUUAAGGAAACAAAAUUCCCUAAACUCAGAACUCCAAGUUGUAGCUUUGUUGUCUUCCUUGUUCUUACUUUGAAAAGUCAUGUAUUAAUUGUUAUUUGCCUGUAUUUGUAUGCAAACUAUUCUCUUUCUGCUGUUUCAAUAAAGCUACAUAAAACACUACAUUGUAACCCUCUAAGUAAUAAUAAAGGCAUAUAUUACACUAACAACAAUGGGAAAUAAGUAUAUUGUUCUUUUGAAAUAUGUGGUAAAGAACUAAUCAUAGACUGUCAUCUAAUCUGGUUACAUGUUGUAUUUUUCAUCCUGAAUAAAAGUAAUUUUAACACAAAAUGACUUUGAUAUUUUUCAGCUGUGACCAAUGGACUCUGUCCUUGAAUGUACACGGAUGAAAAUA